UACGGAGGGUGCAAGCGUUAUCCGGAUUCACUGGGUUUAAAGGGUGCGUAGGCGGCAUUUAAGUCAGUGGUGAAAUACCUGAGCUUAACUUGGGAACUGCCAUUGAUACUAUUUGUCUUGAAUGUCGUGGAGGUUAGCGGAAUAUGUCAUGUAGCGGUGAAAUGCUUAGAUAUGACAUAGAACACCUAUUGCGAAGGCAGCUAACUACGCGAAUAUUGACGCUGAGGCACGAAAGCGUGGGGAUCAAACAGG
rnacentral:rRNA from 1 species